rnacentral:lncRNA from 1 species
UCAACAUGGGCACACCGAAUUGAGCACCCAGGCCUGAAUCCUGUUUGAGAGUCACUCAAUAUUUGGUUGUCGCCCAUCCACCUAUCGAUAUGACCAUACAAUGCACUCUCGAUUAACUUUACAAGACUUGACGUCAGAGAAAUAGGUCUAAUAUUAUCCAUUGUGUACCCAUCGCCCUGCUUUUUAAGUAGCGGAGUUACUUUGUCUACUUUCAAAUCUGGAUGAAUCCAUGCAUUCUGAAAUGAAAAAAUUUAUAAAGUUAAGCAAAUCCUGGGGAGACAAUUAGAAUAUUCUUUUUAUCAUUGCUGUAGAUGACAUAACCCGAACUGGAAAAAGUCAGGUCUAGCACCGAACGCGAUUUCCCGGAUACUUAAGUUGGGGUUCUUGAAUUCACACAAUCAAGGUCAUUUGUUGAAAUCCAAUCUACAAUCGUUUGCCACAAGAAUCGGACCGAUAGCCCCAUGAUACAAGGUGAGAAUUGAAAUCACCAGCUACUAUUUUAUUCUUUCUACAUGCUGCAACCGCGGAAUCAAGAGAACCUGUAUUUAUGACUCCUGUAGGAAAAUACACAUUUACUAUGGAAAAUGGGGCCCAACCAAGCAGCAUCACGUCCAAUGCUAGCGCCUCACUUUCUGCAAAGAAUGACGGGUGACUAAUGUUAACUCUAUGACAAAUUUUCGAUAAGAUGAAAAAUGCUAAACCCCCUCUACGAGAAGGGCGAUGUAGACGAAAACUACGAUAAUUCUAUAAACGAAAUCUCUUUUCUGUAGAUAACCAUGUUUCUUGCAAAAUAAUCAAAUCAGAAUAAAGUCCUUCACAAAGAUGUCACAAAUCAGUGGCUGCAGCAGAAAUGGAGCGACAGUUCCACUGCAGCACUGUUAAGGUCCCUAUCUUGACGAUAUUCCAGCAGUAUUAACUGCCGUCUGUAAAAUAAUAUCUUUUAGGAAGUCAUCCUUUGAUAGGUUGUCAUUUUGACUGUUUUUAGCCUUUAGCUUAUGAAGGAUAGUAGUUCUAGGAGAGUACGGAGAAGCGCGACGUUUGCACGUUCGAGCAUCCAGAUCUAUGUUCUCAAUGUUUUCUGAACGGGACCCUGGCAUUCGACUGAGAUGCGGAAGGUUCUGUGUCGCCAGCA